rnacentral:tRNA from 1 species
GAUCUAUUAGUUUUUAAAAAUAUUAGUUUGUGGUACUAAAGAUUUUAUUGAUCU